rnacentral:misc_RNA from 1 species
AUAACCAACAACAAUUGUCACGCUGAUAAGCAGGACAAAUAAAUUGGAGUAAGCUCAAAACAAUUGGAGGCACUACAAAUCCAAAUUCCAGCUUUUAAAAUUUAAAGAAGCAAAAUAUUAAUUAUAGCAUAUUCUUUCUUUACAGGUAUACAAUACUCUUUCAAUCAUAAGCACCUUGAAUCAAGGAAACCUUCAUAGCAUAAGGAAAAAAAAGUGCAAAUUAAGAUGAAUAGAUAACAAGAAAAUACAUAAAGAAAAAUUAUAAUUUAUGAGGUAUCUUCUAGGUCCCAACAAAAAGAUACUCGACCCCCUAGAUAUCUUUGAUUAAAUUCAUACCAUAAUUAAUGUGUUCAAGCAUCUAUCACCACUAAUCCUUUCUUGCUCACUUCAUUUCCAUAUCAUUGUUAAAGGCAAUCUCAGAAAAGGUAUUUCAUUAAACUGUGAUCUUGGGUAUAAAUAACCCUUACAAGAUAAGAUUUGUUAUGAUACAGCUAUUGUAACAACACUUAACGUUUAUCUCUACAAAAAUACACCUCUAUCUAAUACACCCUCUCAAGUUGAACUAUCGAUAUGGGAAGAUAGUCAACUUGGUUCGUAAUUGUUGAAAACGCAGUUUAGUCAACGGCUUUGUUAAAACAUCAGCGAUUUGAUCCUUUGUAGAGAUGUAUCGAACCUGAAUAUCAUUAGACUGAACUUUAUCACAAACAAAAUGUACAUCUAUCUGCACAUGUUUCAUUCUGCUGUGAUAAACUGGAUUUACCGUAAGGUUUGUAGCACCCAAGUUAUCACUCCAAAGAACAGGGAUUUUAGUUUGUACCCCCAAUUCUUGUAGCAAGUUUCGAAUCCAAAGUACCUCAGAAGUUGUGUUUGCAAUGGCACGGUAUUCUGCUUCGGUUGAUGAACGUGAAACACUUCGCUGUUUCUUGGACGCCCAGGAGACUAGAUUCCGGCCAAGAUAAAUAGCAAAUCCGGUCGUAGACUUGCGAUCCUCUAUGCUGCCCGCCCAAUCAGAAUCACUAUAUGCAGAGAUUUCAUAAACAGAUGAUGGUCGAAGAAGUAGGCCAUAUUCAGCUGUUCCCUGUAAAUAACGAAGUACACGCUUCACCGCUUGCCAAUGUUCCUCAGUUGGUCGAUGCAUAUACUGUGCUAAUCUAUUUACUGUAAAUGAAAUCUCAGGCCGAGUGAAGAGAAGAUACAAUAAGCUGCCAAUGGUACUUCGGUAUAGCGUGGGAUCUCCAAAACCAGAAGAAGAACAUUGUAAUCUGGAACUUGGUGCUCGCGGUGUAGUAACAGAUUUGGAGUUUUCCAUUUUGCAUUUCUUCAAUAAAUCCAGAAUAUAUUUUUGUUGAGUCAAGAGUAACGAACCAUUCUGCCAAUGCGCCUGUAUUCCCAGGAAAUAGUGUAGACGUCCCAAGUCUUUGAGCAAAAAUUUCGACCUCAAGUGCUGCUGCAACUCCUUUUCCAACAUUUCACUAGUUCCCGUCAUGAGCAAAUCAUCAACAUAUGUCAAGCAAUAAAGCACAUCACUGCCUCGCCGAAAAAUAAAUAGAGAGGUAUCAAGCUUGGACUGCACGAAGCCAAAGUGAAGAAGAGCUUCUUUAAGACAGCUAUUCCAUUGACGCGGCGCUUGUUUUAAACCAUACAGUGACCGUCGAAGUCUGCAAACAUGGUUUGGCUUUGUAUCAUCAAUAAAGCCUGGAGGCUGUUGCAUGUAGACCGGUUCGUCUAAUUGACCAUGUAAAAAGGCAUUAGAAACAUCAUAUUGUUUAACAAACCAUUUUUGAGAGACUGCAAGACUCAAGAUCAAUCUAACUGUCACUAGUUUAACAACUGGUGAGAAAGUUUCACCAAAAUCUACACCAAGUCGUUGGUGAAACCCCUUUGCAACAAGCCGUGCCUUGUAGCGUUCCAAAGAACCAUCUGAAUUUUCCUUGACUUUAAACACCCAUUUGCAGCCGAUUACAUUAGCAUGUGGUGGUUUUUCAACAAGCUCCCAAGUCCCAAGCUGAAUUAAUGAGUUAAUCUCAUUAUCAAGUGCCUCACGCCAUUCUUUAAAGCGCUUUGCUUCUGUAACUGUGGCAGGUUGUAGAGGUGGUGUAAUUGCUGACAAUGUCCUGGGCUUUGAAUGACCUGUCUUUGACCUUGUAAGCAUAGGAUGAGUAUUCCCCAGUGGUGCAGGUAGAGGAAGAACUAUAACCGACUGAUCUGGUUGUACCAUUGGAGACAGUUGCGUGUUUGACAAAUUCGAAAUAGGAGCAGGUAGGGGCUCUGAGUCUGAACCCGAUGCAACAGAAAUAAUCUCAGUAUUAGAAACAACAUUCGGUUCACGUUGAGAAGACACUUUUGGAAGUAAAUGUACUGGUGGUGGCCCAAGAAUACCGCGGCUUGAGUGCACAGAUUCAGAAACAUUAUUAUCCUGCACUUUAAGAGAUUUAAAAGGAAAAUUAUGCUCAUCAAAUACCACAUGUCUGGAUAUAUACAACCGUUUUGCCAAAAAAUCAUAGCACUUAUACCCCUUGUGCACCAAACUGUAGCCAAGAAAAAUACAUGGUGAAGACCUAUUUUCCAGCUUAUGUUUAUUGUACGGACGCAAAUAAGGAUAGCAAAGACAUUCAAAAGUACAAAGACUGGACAAAUCAGGCAAAGCUCCAAACAAUUUUUCAUAAGGCGAUUUAUGUAUUAAAGGAGUUACUAUCCUAUUAAUCACAUAAGCUGCAGUUUCAAAAGCAAAAUCCCAGUAAUCCAAUGGUAAAGUAGCAAAAUUCAACAUAGCCAAACCAGUUUCCACAAUGUGCCUAUGCUUCCGCUCAGCACAACCAUUUUGCUGUGGCGUAUAAGGACAAGACAAACGCAAUGAAAUCCCAUUAUCAGCCAAGUAUGUAGCAAGAGACCGAAAUUCGCCUCCCCAAUCACAUUGAAACAUUUUUAUUUUGCGAUCAAAGAAAGUCUCAACAAAUUUUCGAAACUUAAUAAAUGUAGACAGUACAUCAGAUUUUCGUUUGAGACAAUAUAACCAUGAAUAUUUGCUGAAAUGAUCAUAAAAAAGAACAUAAUAACGAUUACCAUUAAUAGAAGGAACAGGGGAAGGACCCCAUACAUCAGAACAAAUAAGUUCAAGUGGAGCAGACGCAUUAAAAGUAGACAAUGAAAAUGGUAAACGAUGUGAUUUACUAACACAGCAAGAUGAACAUAGUUCUUUUUUAUUGGAAGAAAAAAUAAUUUUAUUAUGCUUCAAGGUUGAUAAAACAGCUCCAUCAUGAGCAUGACCCAGGCGAGAAUGCCAAGACCGGAAAGAAAUAUGAUGCAUAGCAGCAGUCGGAAGACUAGAUGCUGAAAGUUUAUAAAGACCUUGUUCAACUGGACUUUUGUGAAGAACCUUCCUCGUGGGGAUAUCCUUGAUAAGAAAACAGUCAGGAAAGAACUCAAGUGAGACUUGAUUAUCAUUUGUAAAAUUUAGAACGGACAGCAAACUAAAUGGAGAUUGAGCAGAAAACAAAAUAUUGUUCAAACGAAAAUCAUGAUUAUUGUUCAAUAUUGUACUGCCUACAUGUGAGAUGGGAAUUGUAUUACCAUUGCUUACUGUAACUUCAUCUGGUCCUGUAUAUUCAGAAUCAAUCGUCAAGUUUCCAAGAGAUCCUGUAAGAUGGUGUGUAGCACCAGUAUCAACAAUCCAAGGCUGUGGCUGUGCACGAUAUCCCUAUGAACCUGAAGCAGCAUUCCAAGCGUGAGCCGAACCAACAGGAACCGAAACUGUAUGAUAAGCUUGUGGUGGUGGCAAAACCGUUCGGCGUUGACUUGGACAUUGUCUGGCAAUAUGACCCGAACCAUUACAGUUAUAACAAGUAGCAGAACUGAAAAACUGACCCUGAGAUUGCUGUGGUUGAACAGUAGGCAUCUGAUAAUUCUGAAACCGACCACCACUCUUACCGCCUCGAUUACCUCGACCACCACGCCUUCCACGACCAUUCGAAUUAGAAAACCCCAUCGCAGGUUGCUGAUUACGCGUUGUAAGCAACGCAGUCAUUGGAGAACUAGAAUUUUCAUAUUUUUUCUGCUGCAAUUCUUCAGACAACAAUAAACCAUACAAUUCGUCAUAAGAGGGCAUCUGCAGUUUCGCUUCAAUGGAACGCACAAAAGGACGAUAGUCCUGUCCCAACCCAUCAAGAAUCGCUCCAACAAGAUCAUCACUUGAAAUCGGAUUAUUAAGUGCAAGAAGUUGAUUACUAAGGGAUUUUGCUCGCUGCAUAUAGACUUCAAUCGAGUCUGUAUUACGUUCCAAAUGAUGAAUUGCGUGUUUUAAAUGACGCACCUGGGCAGUAUUCCCAACCGCAAAACUAUGCUCUAAUCGCGUCCAAAUCUCCAAUGCAGAUGUAGCACCAACUGAACUCGAUAACAAAGCUUCAGAAAGAGAAGCGUGAAUCCAACUCAUGACGAUCUGAUCCUCACGAAACCAGAUAGUAUAAGCUGAAUUGCGAUUAGAAUCAGGCAGAGUAGGAUUCGGUGGAACAUAAUUUUUGUCGAUAUGUUUAUCAAGAUUAUAGCCACGCAAUAAUGGUAGCAUCUGUGUCUUCCAAAUAACAUAAUUGAGAGGAGUAAGCUUAACAUGAAUCUGAUUGGAAACAUUGGGAAUAGUAGUCAAAGAAUUUGAGAUAAUCGAAGAAGAAGAAGAAGAAAUAACAGCAGGAGAAGGAGACUCAUCAAGAGCAGACUCUGUAGACAUGAUGAAAAACGAAAAAGAAAGAAAGAAUUAACAAGAAAG